rnacentral:rRNA from 1 species
GACGAACGCUGGCGGCGUGCCUAAUACAUGCGAGUAGAACGCACAGUUUAUACCGUAGCUUGCUACACCAUAGACUGUGAGUUGCGAACGGGUGAGUAACGCGUAGGUAACCUGCCUGGUAGCGGGGGAUAACUAUUGGAAACGAUAGCUAAUACCGCAUAAUAUUAAUUAUUGCAUGAUAAUUGAUUGAAAGAUGCAACUGCAUCACUACCAGAUGGACCUGCGUUGUAUUAGCUAGUAGGUGAGGUAACGGCUCACCUAGGCGACGAUACAUAGCCGACCUGAGAGGGUGAUCGGCCACACUGGGACUGAGACACGGCCCAGACUCCUACGGGAGGCAGCAGUAGGGAAUCUUCGGCAAUGGACGAAAGUCUGACCGAGCAACGCCGCGUGAGUGAAGAAGGUUUUCGGAUCGUAAAGCUCUGUUGUAAGAGAAGAACGGGUGUGAGAGUGGAAAGUUCACACUGUGACGGUAUCUUACCAGAAAGGGACGGCUAACUACGUG